rnacentral:rRNA from 1 species
AGCCGGAGCUUCUUCUGCGGGUACCGUCAUUAUCUUCCCCGCUGAAAGGGGUUUACAACCCUAAGGCCUUCUUCACCCACGCGGCAUGGCUGGAUCAGGCUUUCGCCCAUUGUCCAAUAUU